AUUGAACGCUGGCGGCAGGCCUAACACAUGCAAGUCGAGCGGAGCGGCGGAAGGGUGAGUAAUGCCUAGGAAUCUGCCUGGUAGUGGGGGCUAACGUACGUAAAAGGGCGCUAAUACCGCAUACUAUCAGAUGACCCUUGGUCGGAUUAGCUAGUUGGUGGGGUAAAGGCCUACCAAGGCGACGAUCCGUAACUGGUCUGAGAGGAUGAGCAGUCACACUGGAACUGAGACACGGUCCAGACUCCUACGGGAGGCAGCAGUGGGGAAUAUUGGACAAUGGGCGAAAGCCUGAUCCAGCCAUGCCGCGUGUGUGAAGAAGGUCUUCGGAUUGUAAAGCACUUUAAGUUGGGAGGCGUUACCAACAGAAUAAGCACCGGCUAACUUCGUGCCAGCAGCCGCGGUAAUAC
rnacentral:rRNA from 1 species